AACACACAAAACGACACAGCUUUGCGAUCUCCCCAGCAUGCAGAGUCUGAUGUCGAGGCCUUCCCUAUAGAUGAUUCCAGAGACUCUGUGAGGCCACUAUUACAAGGUGAGACGCUUUGCCUUGAUUGGAGGGACCACACUGGAGGUGCGAGUCCGCCG